AUUACUAUGCCAAAUAUGAACACGACAACACAACCAAUUUGUUUAUAGCAGCUGCUUAAGUCGAUACACUUCAUUAGUGCGUGACGAUUUUUGCUAUGAAUGAAAAUAUCGAACUAAGAGUUAGUCUGAAAUAUACAUAAAUAGAAAUCGUUGAAGACAUUUCUUGUUCUGGACUACCUACGACCUCUUCAACUGAUGAAAAUAUUAAAAAAGUGAGGACAUGAAAACAUUUUAUCGAAUGUUCGCACAUUCUUCGUUUCCCUUUAGUACAUAUUUAAAGCAUUGAGUUUGGUGGUUAAAGUGAAAGGAGUGAAAUUUUGUCCAAUUCUCUCUUGCAAAGCGUUUACAACUUUAUUAAUUAUAGAACUGAUUUCAAAAAUGCUAUUUUUUUCUUUCUCGAUUGAUGGCAAGUACACUAAAACGCUGUGAUACUAACAUUUUUCACGCACUCGCUCAAAAAAAAAUUGUUAAAAAAAAUCGCCGAUUCAGGAGGAAACCAGGAAUCAGUGCAUUUUUCACGAAAAUCAGGAAUCAGUGCCGAAGGUAAAAAUCCCCUGACUAAUCAGGGAAAAUGGUAACCCUACGUUGAGUUUUUCUACAAAUUAGCUUGGUCCGUUCCAAUGAUUUUGGUGGAUAUUUUGCGUAUGCUCGAUUCUUCCCGAUUAAGCUGUAUUUUUUCCGAAAAGAGUACAAUUGUGGCCAAAUUUAAAGCCACAAAGGUUGUGAAUACCUUCGAUCAACGACCCGUUUUCAGUCGAUCGAAAAUAAAAUUCGCUGAAGGAUCUGAAAGCCAUUCCAAAAAAAUUAUUCUGAAAAGUGUUUCGAGGACUGUUAGAGAUUAAUUUGAAGGUGGUCAAAUAAAUACUGAUAAAAAAUUAAAAAA
rnacentral:lncRNA from 1 species